UGCGCAGGCGGUUGAGUAAGACAGAUGUGAAAUCCCCGAGCUUAACUCGGGAAUGGCAUAUGUGACUGCUCGACUAGAGUGUGUCAGAGGGAGGCGGAAUUCCACGUGUAGCAGUGAAAUGCGUAGAUAUGUGGAAGAACACCGAUGGCGAAGGCAGCCUCCUGGGACAUAACUGACGCUCAGGCACGAAAGCGUGGGGAGCAAACA
rnacentral:rRNA from 1 species